UCUGUGAGAGAGAAAUGGUUUUGGUAAAGCCUUUUAAAUGCCACAUUCCCUCCAAGCCCUGGUUUUGAUUUAACAGCUAAGUACUACUGGCCUCCAAAAAAUGAAGUGCUUCGCUUUUAAAAAUAGCAUAAAGAAUUUUAGUUCUGGGCUGCCCCAUUUCGAGAUCUUAUUGAAAUAGCAAAGCAUAUGAGUUUCAUUUUCCAAGAAAAAGAAUUCAGCUAUUUCAGGAGUAUUCUAAUUUCUGUUAUGUACCUAAAUUUAUCUUCCUUGUAUUCUAGGAAAUUCAGGACAGAAUUCGAAUUAUAGAGCUCUACGCUAAAGACCGUCAGUUUGCAGAGUUCGUUAGGCAGCAUCAAAUGAAGCUGCUUUAAGAAAAAAAAAAAAAAGGAAUCAGUAGAAAGCAUGUGGGAGAUAAAGACUACCUUGUUGCCAUAGCAAUGGGCUCAGAUGUAACUGCAAAGUUACUUAUAGUCUUAACAUUGCAUGGAUGGAUACAGAUGUUUUCUAAAUGACUGGCUGAAAUGUACAGAUGUCUGUUUAUCUCAAUUACCUCCGGCUUUUCUGCGUAAAGUGACAUUUUAAAGAGGUGAUCCGAAGUGGCAGAGGUUAUGAAAGUUCAUUUUCUUUAACUCUGAAAUGGACAAUGUGAGUUUGUAUACCAAUGCAAAACAAACAAACAAAAACAAAACAAAACAAAAAAAACAACAAACAUACAAAAAAAAAGAGAAGAUACAUGCACAAACUAAAAAUAAAAUGCACCCUUACAAUUCCUGUCUGGCAUUUAUCCCCUUCACUGGAGCCUACUGUAGCAAUGGUACAGGUAUAAAGCAGUAGUGGGAAGAGCUCUUUAGUUUGCACAUGAAUGGUUUGUAGGAGAGAACCGUGAUGAUAAAAUGGUGUCAGCAUUAUUGUAAAGCAUUCCUGUUAUAAAUACAACCCUAACCUCA